rnacentral:rRNA from 1 species
AGGAGUUUGAUCCUGGCUCAGAACGAACGCUGGCGGCAGGCCUAACACAUGCAAGUCGAGCGAGAAGCCACCUUCGGGUGGGGGACAGCGGCAGACGGGUGAGUAACGCGUGGGAACGUACCCUUUGGUUCGGGACAACUCCGGGAAACUGGAGCUAAUACCGGAUAAGCCCCUCGGGGGAAAGAUUUAUCGCCGAAGGAUCGGCCCGCGUCUGAUUAGCUUGUUGGUGAGGUAAAGGCUCACCAAGGCUACGAUCAGUAGCUGGUCUGAGAGGAUGAUCAGCCACACUGGGACUGAGACACGGCCCAGACUCCUACGGGAGGCAGCAGUGGGGAAUAUUGGACAAUGGGCGCAAGCCUGAUCCAGCCAUGCCGCGUGAGUGAUGAAGGCCCUAGGGUUGUAAAGCUCUUUCGGCGGGGACGAUAAUGACGGUACCCGCAGAAGAAGCCCCGGCUAACUUCGUGCCAGCAGCCGCGGUAAUACGAAGGGGGCUAGCGUUGUUCGGAAUUACUGGGCGUAAAGCGCACGUAGGCGGAUCGUUUAGUUGGGGGUGAAAUCCCGAGGCUUAACCUCGGAACUGCCUCCAAUACUGGCGAUCUUGAGUCCGAGAGAGGUGAGUGGAACUCCGAGUGUAGAGGUGAAAUUCGUAGAUAUUCGGAAGAACACCAGUGGCGAAGGCGGCUCACUGGCUCGGUACUG